rnacentral:misc_RNA from 1 species
CAAUAAGUGAGGGCUUGUUUGAGAGGGGGCCUGGCCCCUAAUCAGCAAGCAACUCGCCUGACUUGCUCAGGUACCCUUGCUUCGUUUUUCGAGUACCAUGUUGUUUCCUCGGCAGGCUUGCCUGCCAACGGGGACCCCAAAUCAAACUCUUGUAGUAGCAGUAUCAGUCUGAGAAAACUUAUAAUAAUCA